GUUGCAACCUCCAGAAAGAAUUCGUGGUUUCACCCGGGAAAACAGCUCCCCGGAUUAAACGGAUAGGUUUACACAUACUGAUCCACCCAGCUAUUCAUCUUCUGUUUGCUGCUUUAAUUGGGUGCGGUUAAAAGGCCACGUCCCUAGGCGUUCACCGGCUUUCUUGCCAUCUGCUGCAUGAAAACUGACUUUGCCGAAAAAAUUAACAAAGAAGAGCGAAAAUGACAGACCGCAACCGGGUGUAUGUGAUUUUAAGGGUAGUCUUCAACGUCAAGAGAAGAGACCACCAAACAGGCUUUGUGAUAAGAAAAGUACUUCACCUUCAAAUUCAGACACAGAAAUGAAAUCUGAACAACUGCCUCCUUGUGUGAACCCUGGCAAUCCUGUGUUUUCAUGUAUGUUGGAUCCAAAGACACUCCAGACAGCCACCUCACUAUCAAAACCUCAAAUGAUUAUGUAUAAAACCAAUUCAAGUCAUUAUGGUGAAUUUCUACCUAUUCCACAGUUUUUCCCCUGCAAUUAUACUCCAAAGGAGCAAGUAUUUUCAAGCCAUAUCAGAGCAACUGGAUUUUAUCAAAAUAACACUCUAAAUACUGCACCUGACAGAACCAGAACUCUUGAUUUUCCUAAUAUUCAACACACUCUAUGAAAAUAUAUUCCUUUGUAUAUUGAAGAGAAAAUAUACUCGGGAAAAAUGAGUGUUAAAUCUAAGGGUAGAAUACCUAAUAAAGAAGAUAAAAAGUUUUGAAUCAAUUUUUAAAAUAAGUUAAAUAAAGUAUUUCAACUGAUAACUACAUGACAGUGACUUUUUAAAUGAAAAUAUGUUCAAAAUAGCAAAAUAAA
rnacentral:lncRNA from 10 species